AGGGACUGGGAGUCUCCCUUCGCCACCCACAAAGUCAAGGGAAGGAAAGCUCAAAGGGGCAAUUCAUAUCCGCCGGGUCAAUGGGGCAUUAUGCUUGGCACCAGGCCUCUUGCAAAGGGAGAACCGGCGGAUGCAGAAAUACAUGGGACAGGUCCAGACUGCCUUGAGGACAUGCAACAAGGACAAGAAGGAAGCAUGUGUUUGGAUUGCAACAGGCUUUGGAGUAUUCAAAUAGUGAUUGUUCCUCAGGAUGGUUUCAACACCGAAUAAUGACUUUUCGAAAGGAGGAUUGAGUCACACUUGGGAUGGACUUACCGAUCCACGCAGCACAGAAACUGGGUCUGCACAUUCCAAGCCCUCCUUCUUCCCAAGAUAUUCUUGAAAGCAUGUGGGCAAUGUCAGCUAAUACUUCAGACACCAAGCACUUGGCAGAACAAAUUCCAGAGGGCUCAGGAAAAAAAAAAUCUUGUGACUUUACCAUAUGGGUGAGAAUUGUGCCACUCUCCAAACCUUGGUGGACUACAACUCCCAACAUUCCUCAUCAUUGACUGGGCAAGCUAGGCAGCCAAAUCUGGACUGUCAAAUGAUUCAAAGGCAUCUCUGUUGUAUGCCUUCAAGUCAUUUCCAAAUUAUGACAACACUAAGCUGAACCCAUUGUUGUGUUUCCUUGGCCAGACAUAGGAUGAGUUGGAGUAAUAUAUCAUUCUUUGUUAUAUCAGGCCAUUAUUGCAGACAUUCAAAUGCAACACCAUGCUGACUAUCUGUUUUUCCGACCCUUUCUCACCAUUCUCCCAAUACCGAUGCUGCUAAAAAGUGUCCAGCUGGCUAGAGAACAAGGAAGAAAAGAGGAGAUGAGAAGGCAUCUAAAGAAUUUGCAAAAGUCUUUAGACCUCUUUGUCAGAGGUCUUGUUAACCGAGGUACCUUGAGCUCUCCAUUUCCAUAGAUUCAGCAAUCCAUGACUUUUAAGGUAAGGGGCACCACAUUACUACAUCAUUGUAUAUAAUGGGAUUGGAGAACCCAUAGAUUUUGGAUCCUGAGAUUUAAUCCCGGUGGAUACUGAAAAUUUGCUGCAAAUAUUUGCAAAGGAUCCAGCAUCGAAAGGAAUGUUUGCUUAAUCGAGAAGGACUUGCAUUCUCUUCUGCCAACAUUUGGGCUUCGUGUGUGACGGAGCCAUUGUACUAGUGUGAUGUUUCUUGCCUUUGUGUCACAACAAGAACUAACUUCUCUGGGUUCAUCUACACUGUAGAAUUGCUGCAGUUUGACACCACUUUGACCACAAUGUCUCAAUGCAAUGGUUUUACAAGGUCUUUAGCCUUCUCUGCCUCCCCAAAUGACAACUCUUAGGAUUCGGUAGCAUGGAGCCAUUGCAAUUGAAGUGGUGUCAGACUGCAACAAUUCAACAGUGUAGACGCUGGGCCCAAAGGUCUCGUACUCCAGGACCUUUGGCUCUCUUGCAAGUGGUCUGAGCAGGGCAGAGGUUGCAAUGCCGUGGCACUUUCUGACACCUCCCUCUCUCUGCAGGCGAUAACUAUCUGAGCAAAGCUCUUUCUGAUACGCAUAGAAUAGACACGUGUUUGGAUACAAAUAUAUCUCUAUCCUAGAUUGACCCAAGAUAAAUGGGGCUGCGUUCCUCUGCAAAUGGCCACCUGUCUCAAGCAUUUGGGCAAAAGGUCACUUUCUGUUUCGACAGCAAAACGAUACGAGGAGAUGGAAGAGGCAGGAGGGGGAAAUAGUCAUAUUUUAGGAUUGUAACAUAUAUCACCAUUAAUUUUGAUUGGCAGAGUGAGUUUUUAAACCAGGUUUUAACAAAAGCAGUACAGUAGAGUCUCACUUAUCCAAGAUAAACAGGCCAGCAGAACAUUGGAUAAGCGAAUAUCUUGGAUAAUAAGGAGGGAUUAAGAAAAAAGCCAAUUAAACAUAAAAUUACAUUAUGAUUUUACAAAUUAAGCACCAAAACAUCAUGUUUUACAAGAAAUUGACAGAAAAAGCAGUUCAAUACACAGUAAUGUUAUGUAGUAAUUGCUAUAUUUACGAAUUUAGCACCAAAACAUUGCAAUAUUUACUACAAAAACAAUGACUACUAAAAGGCAGACUGCCUUGGAUUAUACAGAACCUUGGAUAAGUGACGCUUGGAUAAGUGAGACUCUACUGUAUUUAAAAAAGAAAAUAUAUACAUAGAUAAGAAUACAUAUACAUUAGGACUCCCCUAAUAUCUACAGGGAUAGAUUCCUGGCCUGAAAUCCUGGAUUCAACCAAAUGCCAUUAAAUAACACAACUUAGAUAACCUAGAGAUUCCUAAAGAAGUAUUCUCUCUAGAGAAGUACUGCCUUUCUUCCAUUCUAAGACACAUUUUUUUUCCUAUGUAAACAUCUUUUAAAAAAUGAACCGCAUCAUAGAAUCUCAGGUGUAUCUUGUAUUUUUCUUGUUAAUUUUUGUGUGUGUCAGGAGCAACUUGAGAAACUGCAAGUUGCUCCUGGUGUGAGAGAAUUGGCCGUCUGCAAGGACAUUGCCCAGGGGAUGUUGCCCGGAUGUUUUUGAUGUUUUACCAUUCUUGUGGGAGGCUUCCCUCUUGUCUUGUUCUGUACAAGACUACUUUUUAGGACGUGAAUAGGGGCAAAGGCUAUCACACUGUGCGCAUUAAGUCACUUAGCCAAUCCAAGGAUGUUUAAGUGAUUGGCUCAAUAGCCACUUAUGGGGCAGCCAUGUCUUUGUGUGUGUGUGCCUUUUGUGGACACAAUCCAUCCCCUGAAGUACGGGCGCACAUGGCUCUGCCAAGAUGAAGCAACAUACCUUCAAAGCUGGGCUGCGUCCAAGAAAGCUCACGCCACCAUGGAACCGGUUCGUCUUUCGGGUGACGCAAGGCUCUUGCCUCCUUUGCUUGACGGAACGUGGGAUCCUCAAGAUGUAAGACCACUGCAAUGAGCCUACAAAGGCCCAUCUGUUUUUCCUUUGCUUUAUCGGAGCAGGAGAUCGAGCCUUGGCUCUGGGUACAACACAAAUGUCACUUUACGCCUGACCUAUCCUGUCUUUUAUGUGUCUGAGAGAGUUUGAUUGGCCAAGGUUGUCCAAUGGGUUUCCAUGUUUCAGUGGGAACUCUGGUUUCUGGCAUUUUUGCCAGAAGCUGGGGCUAACAGCGGAAGCUCACCCCGCUCUCCAGAUUCGAACUGCCAACCUUUCGGUCAGCAAGUUCAACAGCUCAGCGGAUUAACCCGCUGCGCCAACGGGGGCUCCAGCAUAUGUUAGAAAGGUAAAUUUUGAUAUUUUUAUGACCUAGAAUGACGGUGUAUGUAACGUUACUUGCCUGUAAGCAAGAAUCAAUAAGAGUGACGGAUUUCCUUUGUUCCGGCACUCUGGUCUGCUUUUGGAACUGAUCCACGACCAGGGCCCCAGCUGAUUAUUUUUCAAUAUAUCGUUCUUUUUUAAGUCUCAGAAAAGGAUCUCUGUUGGUGUUAUCUCUCUUAUUUUUUUGUAGCUCAGCCACAGCAGGCAGGGGCUGAUGGAUUCACUAAUGAUUUAGAGUCAGAUGGGACUGUGGACUUUCCUGGGUUUCAUUCUGAUGCAGAAGGCUAUUCUCAUGAAGAGCCAGAAAGUGAAACUACUUUAGACACAGGCACAGAGGGGUCUGAGAAUAUAAUUGCUUCUGAUCCUGAUCCUCCAGGCCUUCAAGGCCGUUCACGGGAGUUGGAAUCAUCCUCUCUAGAUAAGGAGUCCAGCAAAGAUGAAUUAAUGAGAAAUUCUCAUGGGAACACACCUGGUGACAUUGAACUAAGCCAAGAUACUCACCUGCAAAUUUGGUGGCCACCAUGCCUCUCAAUACAACUCAGUGGGAAGCAAAAGUUCCAGGGGAGCCGUAAUGCUUUCAUGUCUGUAUAUUGGGAGCUGCGGGUUCUUUGCUGUUCAGUUCAGGCAAUGCGGCUUUAAGUUAUAGUCAGGCCUGAGUUCUCUGGUUCUUGUUUUAGUUUUGGAUUCAAAUAUUCUGGAAGUUUUUCCAUGCUCGUACUCAUGUUGUGUAUCCUUGUUCAAGUUUUGCUUAUGGACUCAAGUUGCUUUUGGAUUUUGAGACUAUUCUUGAAGUGCCUUGCUUUUGGAUUUACAAGAGACAUCUGAUUGCUGACUUUUGGGACAUUAUACCUUCUUUCCUUAGCCCUGCUUUUUGCAAUAUAUCUUUUGUAUUUUUUGUAAUAAACUAUUUGCCUUUA